AGCGAGCAGAUUUGCAUGAAGGGGCCAUUCCCCAGCGCUGGGGGUUUAAGAGAGAAUUGGAGGGUCCCAGCACAGACCCACUUGCCUCAGGAAGCCGAGCUCGUCUGACUUCCCAUCAUGGCCCGGGCCCCCCUGCUCCUCGCCCUGCUCACUUACUGCUCAGGGGUCAGGUCACAGCCUGUGGUGACUCAGGAGCCCUCCAUGUCGGUGACCCCAGGAGGGGCCGUCACGCUGUCCUGCAGCCUGAGCACUGGAGCCAUCACCAGCAACAACUACCCCACCUGGUUCCAGCAGAAACCUGGCUCUGUUCCUCGGACAGUGAUAUACAACACCAAUAGCAGACCCUCCGGGAUCCCUGCCCGGUUCUCUGGGGCCAUAUCCAGUAACGACGCUGCCCUGACCAUCACCGGUGUGCAGGCAGAGGACGAGGCUGACUAUUACUGUUUUGUAGCAACUGGUGGUGCUCAUCACAGUGAUACAGCCAAAUGGGGAACUGAAAUAAAAACGUCUCCUGUCUUCACCCCUCAUCCUUGGCACUACGCUGGCUGCACACUUUGGAUCCUCUCUAUGACCGAUGAGACCCUGAUUCCUCCUCAUUAG